rnacentral:rRNA from 1 species
AGAAAAUAGAUACCCCGGUAGUCCACGCCGUAAACGAUGGGCACUAGGUGCUGGGGGGAGCGACCCCUUCAGUGCCGCAGCUAAACGCGAUAAGUGCCCCGCCUGGGGAGUACGGCCGCAAGGCUGAAACUCAAAGGAAUUGACGGGGGCCCGCACAAGCGGUGGAGCAUGUGGUUUAAAUUCGAAGCAACGCGAAGAACCUUACCUAGGUUUGACAUGCUGGUGAAAGCCUCUGGAAACAGGGGCCCUUCUUCGGAACACCAGCACAGGUGCUGCAUGGCUGUCGUCAGCUCGUGUCGUGAGAUGUUGGGUUAAGUCCCGCAACGAGCGCAACCCUUGCCCCGUGUUACUAACAGGUAAAGCUGAGGACUCUCGGGGGACUGCCGGCGUCAAGCCGGAGGAAGGUGGGGACGACGUCAAGUCAUCAUGGCCCUUACGCCUAGGGCGACACACGUGCUACAAUGGCGAGGGCAGAGGGCAGCAAGACGGCAACGUGGAGCGAAUCCCAGAGACCUC